CCUACGGGGGGCAGCAGUGAGGAAUAUUGGUCAAUGGCCGCGAGGCUGAACCAGCCAAGCCGCGUGAAGGACGACUGCCCUACGCGUUGUAAACUUCUUUUAUAAAGGAAUAAAGUGAGGCACGUGUGCCUUUUUGUAGGUACUUUAUGAAUAAGGAUCGGCUAACUCCGUGCCAGCAGCCGCGGUAAUACGGAGGAUCCGAGCGUUAUCCGGAUUUAUUGGGUUUAAAGGGUGCGUAGGCGGUUUAUUAAGUCAGGUGUAAAAGGCAGGGGCUCAACCCGUGAAUGCAUUUGAAACUGGUGGACUUGAGUGGAGGAGAGGUAGGCGGAAUGCGAGGUGUAGCGGGGAAAUGCGUAGAUAUAUCGAAGAACACCGAGGGCGAAGGCAGCUUUCCGGCCUGUAACUGACACUGAGGCACGAAAGCGUGGGGAGCAAACAGGAUUAGAUACCCGUGUAGUC
rnacentral:rRNA from 1 species